AAUAAGUUUUAUAAUGAUUUUAAAAUUAAUUAUAUUUUUGUAUUAAUAAAUAAAUAUUUUAUAUUAAAAAUUUUAAAUAAUUUAAUGAUUAAAUUUAAAAAAUUAAUGAAAGUUAAAUUUAGAAAAAAAAAUUAACAGUGAUUAAAGUUAGUGCCAGCAAUAGCGGUUAAACUAAUAUUGUAAAUUAAUUUUUUUAAUUAAUAUUUAUAUGAAAUAAAAUUUUAAUUUAGUUAAAUUUUGGAAUUUUAAGUGAAAUUUAAUUUUAAAAUAUAUUAAAUUUUAAAAUUAUAAAAAUAAUAAGAUAACUAAAUAGACUAGGAUUAGAUACCCUAUUAUAUAAAAUAAUAAAAUAAUUUAUAAAUAAAUGUUAAAUCAUUAAAAUUAAAUUAUAUGGCGGCUUUUCAUUCUUAUUAGAGAAAUUUGUAAUUUAAUUCGAUAUCCCACGAUAAGAUAAACUUAAAUUAUUGAUUUAUGUAUUGUUGUUUGAUAUUUGUUAUAUAAAAUUUCACAAUAGCAUAUAUUUGAUAAAAUAGUAAUUCAAAUCAAAAUGUAGUAUAUUUAAGAAUAUUAUGAAUUAUAAUAAAUUUUAUUUUUGGAUAAUUAAUUUUAAUAAAUUAAUUGGAAAGUGGAUUUAAAAGUAAAAAUAAUAAAUUAAUUAUUUUGAAAGUAGUCUUGGAAAGCGUACAAAUUGCCCGUCAAUUUCAGUUAAGGAAUAAGUCGUAACACAGUAAAGAUAUUGGAAAAUGUUUUUAGAGACCU
rnacentral:ncRNA from 1 species